GGGCAGUCUGUGCCGCUGUAAACAUCCUUGACUGGAAGCUGUAAGGUGCUUGGAGGAGCUUUCAGUCGGAUGUUUACAGCGGCAGGCUGCCA
rnacentral:pre_miRNA from 1 species